AAUACCGGAUAACAACACUAGACGCAUGUCUAGAGUUUGAAAGAUGGUUCUGCUAUCACUCUUGGAUGGACCUGCGGUGCAUUAGCUAGUUGGUAAGGUAACGGCUUACCAAGGCAAUGAUGCAUAGCCGAGUUGAGAGACUGAUCGGCCACAUUGGGACUGAGACACGGCCCAAACUCCUACGGGAGGCAGCAGUAGGGAAUCUUCCACAAUGGACGAAAGUCUGAUGGAGCAACGCCGCGUGAGUGAAGAAGGGUUUCGGCUCGUAAAGCUCUGUUGGUAGUGAAGAAAGAUAGAGGUAGUAACUGGCCUUUAUUUGACGGUAAUUACUUAGAAAGUCACGGCUAACUACGUGCCAGCAGCCGCGGUAAUACGUAGGUGGCAAGCGUUGUCCGGAUUUAUUGGGCGUAAAGCGAGCGCAGGCGGUUCAAUAAGUCUGAUGUGAAAGCCUUCGGCUCAACCGGAGAAUUGCAUCAGAAACUGUUGAACUUGAGUGCAGAAGAGGAGAGUGGAACUCCAUGUGUAGCGGUGGAAUGCGUAGAUAUAUGGAAGAACACCAGUGGCGAAGGCGGCUCUCUGGUCUGCAACUGACGCUGAGGCUCGAAAGCAUGGGUAGCGAACAGGAUUAGAUACCCUGGUAGUCCAUGCCGUAAACGAUGAGUGCUAAGUGUUGGGAGGUUUCCGCCUCUCAGUGCUGCAGC
rnacentral:rRNA from 1 species